rnacentral:rRNA from 1 species
AUUGAACGCUGGCGGCAGGCCUAACACAUGCAAGUCGAGCGGAGCGGCGGAAGGGGGGGUAAUGCCUAGGAAUCUGCCUGGUAGUGGGGGAUACCGUCGGGAAACGGGCGCUAAUACCGCAUACUAUCAGAUGAGCCUAGGUCGGAUGAGCUGGUUGGUUGGGUAAAGGCUUACCAAGGCGACGAUCCGUAACUGGUCUGAGAGGAUGAUCAGUCACACUGGAACUGAGACACGGUCCAGACUCCUACGGGAGGCAGCAGUGGGGAAUAUUGGACAAUGGGCGAAAGCCUGACCCAGCCAUGCCGCGUGUAUGAAGAAGGCCUUCGGGUCGUAAAGUACUUUCAUCGGGGAGGCGUUACCCGCAGAAGAAGCACCGGCUAACUCCGUGCCAGCAGCCGCGGUAAUAC